GGAAGUUGGUCAAUUGCCAAAGGUGACAGAAAUUAAUUGUUAUAAGUGAUUACAAUCUAGCCUGGGAAACUAAAAUGAUUAAUCAGUCAAGGCCAUAUGCCAUCUGAACAGACUGGCUCAGGCAGUAGCUACUGAAGAACGUGUGUACUUACAGAGAAGUGGGCCAGAAAGUAGGAAGCCAUGAGGCUUCAAAAAGAAAUUACAGAAUUAUUAGUAUGUGACUCCAGAGAUGCCAGGGAUCACUAUACCAGCACCUAGAAAGAAGCAGCAACAAGAAGAAUAGGGGAGAUUUGAGAAGA